rnacentral:rRNA from 1 species
GACGAACGCUGGCGGCGUGCUUAACACAUGCAAGUCGAACGGAAAGGCCCUGCUUUUGUGGGGUGCUCGAGUGGCGAACGGGUGAGUAACACGUGAGUAACCUGCCCUUGACUUUGGGAUAACUUCAGGAAACUGGGGCUAAUACCGGAUAGGAGCUCCUGCUGCAUGGUGGGGGUUGGAAAGUUUCGGCGGUUGGGGAUGGACUCGCGGCUUAUCAGCUUGUUGGUGGGGUAGUGGCUUACCAAGGCUUUGACGGGUAGCCGGCCUGAGAGGGUGACCGGCCACAUGGGGACUGCGAUACGGCGCAGACGCCUACGGGAGGCAGCAGUGGGGAAUAUUGCACAAUGGGCGGAAGCCUGAGGCAGCAACGCCGCGUGCGGGAUGACGGCUUUCGGGUUGUAAACCGCUGUCGCCUGUGACGAAGCGUGAGUGACGGUAAUGGGUAAAGAAGCACCGGCUAACUACGUG